AACUGCCUUACCCGGCUCGAACGUCGACUCUCGGCCAAUAUCCAGGGCGCCGUCUCUCAUGUGAUCUUCUAUUCCGACGCCAUUCAAAUGGAACAACGCCGCAUUCUGACGUCCUCAUCCACGCGGACGGGGCUGCCUUCUUCACGCACUGGAACGAAGAUAACGGCGACCGCCCAUCCGGCCUGCGGAAUACAACAUCACUGCUAGUUCUUGAUUCACACAUUGGACUUAAAGGUGAGAAUGCCGGAGAUGAUUUACAGCAAAAUAAUGGUUUUAUCUGCAUCAACAAAAAUUACUCUCAGGACACUCUCAAAAUCGUCACUGAAACUUCUUGAAAAACUGUAGUUGUGAUUAAACUUUAGGAGCCAGCGUUACUAGCGAUUUAGAGAAUAACGGGACAAACUACAUGAGAUUGUGAUCUACACUUUGAGAUGUGACAUCAUGAUAUCUUAUGGGUUUGUCUCUGAAUUUUGCUCCAUACACAGGGUCGUGAUUCGGCUCUCUGCAAAAGAAAAAAGACAAAGGAGGGG
rnacentral:lncRNA from 1 species